GCACAUGGGCGGCGUGGUUGGCAUGCAGUCGAACGAUCCCGCAGGGAUAGUGGCAAAAGGGCGAGUAACACGUGAGUAAUCUGCCCUCGGGUGGGGAACAACCUUGGGAAACCGAGGCUAAAACCGCAUAAGACCACGGCCUGGCAUCAGGCUGUGAUCAAAAGUGGGGACCGCAAGGCCCAUUGCCUGAGGAUGAACUCGCGUCCUAUCAGCUUGUUGGUAGGGUAACGGCCUACCAAGGCUUAUGACGGGUAGCUGGUCUGAGAGGAUGGUCAGCCGCAUUGGGACUGAGACACUGCCCAGACUCCUACGGGAGGCUGCAGUCGAGGAUAUUUAGCAAUGCCCGAAAGGGUGACUAUGCGACGCCGCGUGCGCGAUGAAGGUCUUCGGAUUGUAAAGCGCUGUCAGCCGGGAGGAAUCUCGGGGGCUUUAACAAAGCCUCCGGGUGACAGUACUGGCAAAGGAAGCCACGGCUAACUCCGUGCCAGCAGCCGCGGUAAUACGGAGGUGGCAGGCGUUACUCGGAUUGAUUGGGUGUAAAGGGUGCGUAGGUGGCGAAUUAAGUCGAAUGUGAAAUCCCUUGGUUUAACCAAGGAACUGCAUUCGAAACUGAUUUGCUUGAGGGACGGAGAGGAAAGCGGAAUUCCCGGUGUAACAGUGAAAUGUGUAGAUAUCGGGAGGAACACCAGUGGCGAAGGCGGCUCUCUGGUCCGAUACUGACGCUGAGACGCGAAGGCGUGGGGAGCAAACAGGAUUAGAUACCCUGGUAGUCCACGCCGUAAACGAUGGGCACUAGGUGUAGGAGGUAUUGACCCCUUCUGUGCCGAAGUUAACGCAUUAAGUGCCCCGCCUGGGGAGUACGGCCAGCAAGGCUA
rnacentral:rRNA from 1 species